CGUCAAGAGGGGUCUAUAGAGUGCCGAUACUAUGUGCAAAAAUAUAUACGAGGAAAGUUUAACAGAAAAAAUGCAUAUCAACAAGAAGAAAUUGACGAGGUUCGAAUAGAAUGGGCAACUUUUGUAAGAAGAUUUGUGUAGGCCUACUUAUGGAUUCACUCAUUUUGUUCAUUUGAUGUAAGUAUUUGGGUCGGGUUACUUUAUGUAGUUGUAUUAGUAUAAUGGAAAUACUUUGUGUUUAUAUUAUUGUUGAAUUGUUGUUGUUUCUGUAGUAGUAUUAGUAGAAUGAAAAUACUUUUUUUGUUUA